GAAACUUAGGUACACUGCUUCUCUGACUGACUCCAAAUACUACAGCACCACACCCUUCUAGACUGGUGGAUGCACAGCUCCACUUCUUUGCAGGGAGGACACACAAUAGCAGAAUAUCCGUGGCCCAACUUUCUGGAGCAUCAGUAUUACUACAAGAUUUGGAAGAAGCAAAGUUAGGUCAUUUCCAAGUCCCACAGGUCUUGAGUGAUUGCUGUGAACACUGCACUGUGCUAGAUGUCAAGGCCUUGGUGAGCAUCAUUGUGAGGGUGGAUGUUGAUGGAAAAAGAUUGCAUCAUAAAAACUCAAAGCCAUGCCACUUGCCAAAUUGAGGCAAAAAUGGAAAGACCUAGGGCGCCAAGGAAGGGUGAGGGCAUUAAUAGAUACUUGGGAGUAUUAAAAUCCU